rnacentral:rRNA from 2 species
UACGAAGGGGGCUAGCGUUGUUCGGAAUUACUGGGCGUAAAGCGCGCGCAGGCGGCUAUCCAAGUCAGUGGUGAAAGCCCGGAGCUCAACUCCGGAACUGCCAUUGAAACUGUUUAGCUUGAGGACGAGAGAGGUGAGUGGAAUUCCCAGUGUAGAGGUGAAAUUCGUAGAUAUUGGGAAGAACACCGGUGGCGAAGGCGGCUCACUGGCUCGUUUCUGACGCUCAGGCGCGACAGCGUGGGGAUCAAACAGG